GCGGCGGCCCCUAUACAUGCAGUCGAGCGGAGAGAUAAGGAGCUUGCUCCUUUGACGUUAGCGGCGGACGGGUGAGUAACACGUGGGCAACCUGCCCCUUAGACUGGGAUAACUCCGGGAAACCGGAGCUAAUACCGGAUAAUCCCUUUCUCCACCUGGAGAGAGGGUGAAAGAUGGCUUCGGCUAUCACUAAGGGAGGGGCCCGCCGGCGCAUUGCUAGUUGGUAAGGUAACGGCUUACCAAGGCAACGAUGCGUACCGACCUGAGAGGGGACAUCGGCCACACUGGGACUGAACACCGGGCCCAACUCCUACGGGAGGCAGCAUAGGGGAAUCUUCCGCAUGGACGGAAAGUCUGACGGGACAACGCCGCGUGAGUGAGGAGGCCUUCCGGGUCCGUAAGCUCUGUUGUGAGGGAGAGCGUACUGUCGAUAGGCUAGGGCGGGUACUUGACGGUACUCACAGAAGCACGCCACGGCUUACUACGUGCCAGCAGCAGCGCGUAUACGUAGGUGGCGGGCAGCGUGUCGGAUUAUUGUGGCGUAAGCGCGCGCAGCGGUCUUCUUAAGUCUGAUGUGAUCUCUCGGGGCUCACCCGAGCGCAUGAACUGGGAGCUGAGGGGCUUGAGAGCAGAAGAGGAGAGAGGUGAUUCACGUGUAGCGGUAUGCUGCUUAGAAAGAUGGAGGAACACCAGGGGCGAAGGCGACUCUCUGGUCUGUAACUGACGCUGAGGCGCGAAAGCGUGGGGAGCAAACAGGAUUAGAUACCCUGGUAGUCCACGCCGUAAACGAUGAGUGGGCUUGGUGUUAGGGGUUUCGAUGCCCGUAGUGCCGAAGUUAACACUGUAUCACCGCACCCUGGGUAGUAUAGGGUCGAGCCGCGGCGAGUAACAGGACAUCGCUGGAUCCCGCGCAGGCAAUUAAGCAUGUGGUUCACCAGCAUGACAAGUGUAGAUACUUGAAAAAUCGAGACCUACAGUCUGCACCUUGACACCAGAGAUGGCUCCCUUGGGGCAAAGUGACAGGUGGUGCGCAUGUGUCGUCAGCUCGUGUCGUGAGAUGUGGGUAAUAGUCCCGCAACGAGCGCAACCCUUGUUUAGUGUUGCCAGCCAGCAUGAGUGGCAUCUAAGGUGACUGCCGGGGACAAACCGGAGGAAGAUGGGGAUGAAGACGUCAAUCAUCAGCCCCUUAGACCUGGGCUACACACGUGCUACAAUGGAUGGACAAAAGGGCAGCGAAGCCGCGAGGUGAGAAGCCAUCCCAUAAAGCCUUCUCAGUUCGGAUUGCAGGCUGCAACUCGCCUGCAUGAAGCCGGAAUUGCUAGUAAUCGCGGAUCAGCAUGCCGCGGUGAAUACGUUCCCGGGUCUUGUACACACCGCCCGUCACACCACGAGAGUUUGUAACACCCGAAGUCGGUGAGGCAACCUUUUGGAGCCAGCCGCCUAAGGUGGGACAAAUGAUUGGGGUGAAGUCGUAACCAAGUAGCCGUA
rnacentral:rRNA from 2 species